ACGGCAUGAUGGGGACAUUUUCUAUUGAGAUCCAUUAAUCGUUCCCAUGAUUAAUGGAACUGCUCACCAUCUUGUUGUGAGAAGCUAGUGAGAGCUCGUCUUAUCU
rnacentral:snoRNA from 1 species